GAUGAACGCUGGCGGCGUGCCUAAUACAUGCAAGUCGAGCGAACGGACGAGAAGCUUGCUUCUCUGAUGUUAGCGGCGGACGGGUGAGUAACACGUGGAUAACCUACCUAUAAGACUGGGAUAACUUCGGGAAACCGGAGCUAAUACCGGAUAAUAUUUUGAACCGCAUGGUUCAAAAGUGAAAGACGGUCUUGCUGUCACUUAUAGAUGGAUCCGCGCUGCUUUAGCUAGUUGGUAAGGUAACGGCUUACCAAGGCAACGAUGCAUAGCCGACCUGAGAGGGUGAUCGGCCACACUGGAACUGAGACACGGUCCAGACUCCUACGGGAGGCAGCAGUAGGGAAUCUUCCGCAGUGGGCGAAAGCCUGACGGAGCAACGCCGCGUGAGUGAUGAAGGUCUUCGGAUCGUAAAACUCUGUUAUUAGGGAAGAACAUAUGUGUAAGUAACUGUGCACAUCUUGACGGUACCUAAUCAGAAAGCCACGGCUAACUACGU
rnacentral:rRNA from 1 species